CCUACGGGAGGCUACAGUGGGGAAUAUUGGACAAUGGGCGAAAGCCUGAUCCAGCCAUGCCGCGUGUGUGAAGAAGGCCUUCGGGUUGUAAAGCACUUUCAGUGGGGAAGAAAGCCUUGGGGCUAAUACCCUCGAGGAAGGACAUCACCCACAGAAGAAGCACCGGCUAACUCCGUGCCAGCAGCCGCGGUAAUACGGAGGGUGCGAGCGUUAAUCGGAAUUACUGGGCGUAAAGCGCGCGUAGGCGGUCUGAUAAGCCGGUUGUGAAAGCCCCGGGCUCAACCUGGGAACGGCAUCCGGAACUGUCAGGCUAGAGUGCAGGAGAGGAAGGUAGAAUUCCCGGUGUAGCGGUGAAAUGCGUAGAGAUCGGGAGGAAUACCAGUGGCGAAGGCGGCCUUCUGGACUGACACUGACGCUGAGGUGCGAAAGCGUGGGUAGCAAACAGGAUUAGAUACCCCGGUGUC
rnacentral:rRNA from 1 species